UAUACGUUUGGCCCACCGAGAAUUCUCCUGACUGUCCAUAUUAGCCACUCUGGCAUUGCUGACCCUUGAACAUUCACAUAGUUCUUGUUUUAACUUUCUAUCUUUGCCUUUAUUUCCAACAAAAAGAGUAUCUACUGUGUCUUUAAUCAUUUGCAUCGUAAGAUGAGCCUUCAUGUAAAUCAUCAUUAAAAUAACCUGACAUGAACAAAAACAAAGGAAGAGCUGUUGUGGCUUUAGUUUCUCCUCAGUUACAGACACUGAUCAGCAGGACACAGGCAGGCACUAAGAGAGCAACUUUACCAGCAGUAACAGUCAUGAGUUCAGCUCUGUAUCUGGUCCUGCUUUUCUCAGCUCUGUGGACGCUCACCUCUGUGGGACUCGUCAGUUUUAUGUGGUGAAUCAAGAUAAGAACUGGACCAACGCUCAGAACUACUGCAGAGAGAACUUCACUGACCUGGCAACCACUGAGAGCCAAGAGGAGAUGAACGCUCUGAUAGC